UUUACCACAAAAUAUUUUCAAUGCAAAAAUGCAUUGUUUUUAAAAUGCAGUUAUUUUAUGCAUUCUUGUUUAGUAAGGUCCCCAUCAUUUUCUAAAACAUAUGAAUUGCCUGUUAAAUAUAAGUGAUCAUUAAAUAUAAUGAUCAAAUUUGUCUAAAAAUUAUUCUUUUUAUUAUUUAAAUUCCCCAAAAUUACAUUUACUGUACAGCCAUUUCAGAAAUCAUAUGAAGUUCACUGAUUCAGUUAACUUCAUAAAAACUUGUAUCUGUGUAUAAUUCCCAAAUCAAGCUUAAUUAAACUUAAUGUGCAAUCCCAGAAUCACUUGACAGUAAGAGGAUGUGGUUACAACAGCCAGUUGGAUGUAACCAAAUGUUCUUGGUCAGCAAACAUGACUUUUGAACUGACUUUCCCCCAGUUAUAUACACUAGCAAUGAGACGUCCCACUGUGUCCUGAGCCCUAGUCUGAUCCAGCCUGAUCAUGCGCACAGUUCAUCUUCUCUGUCUGGCUGCACUAAGCUUCUGCACAAUAAAUUGUCUUCCUAUUCAAGAGGAAACAAUCCAAAUAGAUAACACAAGAGAUAAGCAGAGGGAUCAACAUAGAGAGACCAAGAUAAGCAGCUUUUAUUAUUUCUUGGUAAGAUUUAGUAAAAGAAUGAGAAAAGCCAUUUAUCAGGAUUUAAAAGGUAAGUUUUGGGAUUCAUCUACAUUUUGGAAUCUGGGCUAUUUUUAUAUACCUCAUGUACACUGUGAUAUGAUAAUAACAUUCCUCUCUUUUAAUUUACAAAGGAGCUGUUUCAUUAAGGAAAAGGAGAAAAGACUGCUUCUCUGCACUUCGUAUUAAAAGUAAUAAUGCUGUGUGCUUGGAUAUUAAAAAAAAGCCUUAUAUUUCAGUUGAUGCCAUUAAGGACUACCUUUGUCAUAAAAUGAAAGGAAAAAAUUCCAAUUAUGCUUUGUGUACAUGGAGUGGUCAUGCAUUGAAGCUUGUUGAAGCUUAUAGUGCAUCAGAAUCUCCUCCACAUUCAAACAGCAAUGAAAAGCCUAUACAUCUCAGGCCAAGAAGAAAUCAGCAUUUUGACGCAUUUGAUCCUUUGGGAUCUGAGAAUCCAAGGUCAAGAACCACCAAUUAUUGCAGACAAAAUCGAGAGCAAGAGCGCGAGCGCACCAGUAAUGUUUCUAAAGAGACCAUCAUUUCCUAUGAUGACCCUUUACAUGCACUGCUCUCCAAGAGAUUACAAAACUAAUUUCAAACAUUUAAGCAUACGCCUUCAGAUCAAAAGAUUUUUAAGCUCAUGAGAAACAUUUCAGUCAAGUGUUUCAAAACUUUUGACCGGUAGUGUAGUUAUUUAUUUUUUAUGUGCAAAAGCUUUUUACAUGGUUGGAGCAUUAUUAAUAGGCUACUAUUAUUAGUAAUGCAUUAUUAAACCUGAAAGUUAAAUGUAAUAUUAUAGUACUUAGGGAUAGUUCACCUAAAAAUUUAAAUUCUGUAAUAAUUUACUUAACAUAUUGUUGUUCCUAACCCAAAUGCCAAAAUGUCAGUCAGAAUUCUCCUUUCAUGUUCCACAGAAGAAAUAAGUGAUACAGGUUUGGAUGACAUCAUGGUGAGUAAAUGAUGACAGAAUUUACAUUUCUGGAUAAAUUAACAAUUUAAUUUCUAUAUCUCAGUUUUUAUAGAAUGCAAUCUAGGGCUUUUUAUUUGAGGCUGGGUCAGGUCACUGUUUGUCAGUCCUUUCACCUUUUUAUGUCAGUUAAAAUUUAAACAGGGCUGGCAUUGCAAUGAUGUUAUUUUCAUGAGAACUGUGCUGGAAUCUUGUCCAUUGAUUGAUGUGGGUAUUAUCAUCAAAUACUAGGAAUUACGUGUGUUCUGCUCCUUUUUUUCUCUUACAAUGAAACUGCAGAUAUUUAGAAUCAGAUGUUUAGAGUCUGCAGUUAUUUCAUUUGCAUAUAUAAUUAAUGUUAUUAUAUCUCAAGGGUUUCAAACAUAAAUGAGAUGGUGCUGGCCACCUCUACUGAAGUAUUUAUUUAAAAAAAAAAUAUUCAUUUUUUAUUUAUUCUAUUUUAUAUUGAUUUUCUGAAGUAUCAAUUUAUCCAAUGUGUUUGUUCUUAGAGCGAAGGCCAGUGUGUACAUAUGCUUUAAAGAAAAUGAAAUAUUUGAAUUGUAUGUUUUGAAUACCCUUAAAUAAAAAAAAAAUAGAUAUAAAGUAUAAUAACCAGUAUAUAUGAAAUAUUUUGUUUUUGUUUUUUGUUUUUUAUUAUUAUUUUUUAUAUCAGGGUAAUUAAUACAUUCAAACAAUAAAGGACUUAAACCUA